rnacentral:rRNA from 1 species
AGAGCGAACGCUGGCGGCAGGCCUAACACAUGCAAGUCGAGCGCCCAGCAAUGGGAGCGGCAGACGGGAUAGUAACACGUGGGAACGUACCUUUCAGUUCGGAACAACCCAGGGAAACUUGGGCUAAUACCGAAUACGCCCGUAAGGGGAAAGAUUUAUCGCUGAAAGAUCGGCCCGCGUCUGAUUAGCUAGUUGGUGGGGUAAUGGCCCACCAAGGCGACGAUCAGUAGCUGGUCUGAGAGGAUGAUCAGCAUCACUGGGACUGAGACACGGCCCAGACUCCUACGGGAGGCAGCAGUGGGGAAUAUUGGACAAUGGGCGCAAGCCUGAUCCAGCCAUGCCGCGUGGAUGAUGAAGGCCCUAGGGUUGUAAAGUCCUUUCGGCGGGGAAGAUAAUGACGGUACCGCAGAAGAAGCCCGGCUAACUUCGCGCCAGCAGCCGC